UACGAAGGGGGCUAGCGUUGUUCGGAAUCACUGGGCGUAAAGAGCGCGCAGGCGGUCGCUCAAGUCGCGUGUGAAAGCCCCCGGCUCAACUGGGGAGGGUCACGCGAUACUGAUCGACUCGAAGGCAGGAGAGGGUAGUGGAAUUCCCGGUGUAGCAGUGAAAUGCGUAGAUAUCGGGAGGAACAUCUGUGGCGAAGGCGACACCCUGGACCAGCACUGACACUGAGGCACGAAAGCGUGGGGAGCAAACAGG
rnacentral:rRNA from 1 species